rnacentral:tRNA from 21 species
GGCGCGUUAGCAGAGUGGUUAUGCAGCGGAUUGCAAAUCCGUAGACCUCGGUUCGAUUCCGGGACGCGCCUCCA